AAAGAUGGUUGUUGAUAUCCGAAACCUGGGGGUGCCGAUGGAAUAGAAGCUCCAGAGGACAGACCACGGUACAAACCUGGAGGGGCUGAAAUUUCCGGAGAUUUAACUGCUUUAGGAGCAUUCGUAGAAAAGCCGGGAGGCGGAGGGACUGAUCGAGUAUCAGAAGUCAUAAGAGAUCGAAAGAAGGAAGAAUCAUCAUUAGAAAAGUUGUGAUUACCUAAACCAGGAGGAGGAGCAACUGCAGACGGAGGUGAAAACCCAGAAGGUUGCUUUACCGAGGCAAGGUCUUGAUUGGAAGGGUUGACAUUAACUUGAGGCAUUUGUGACAAAGCAACCUUAGGAGAGCCUGUCGUGCUUGAUGCUUGUCUGCCAAGCAUAGCUAAGACGCGUUGAAAUCCUUCGGCGUCUUUGUCAAUUGUAGCAGAACCUAUAGUAGGAAUAGGAGCAGGAGAAACAACGGUAUUUGCAACUCGAGGAGAUGGGUUAUUUGACAUAUUUGGUGUAGAAGUCUUAGAAGUUUCAGGGCCAGCCAGUCCGUUAAAAAACUUGCUAAACCUCGAAGAAGUGGUUGUGCUGGGUGCGGCAUGUACCAUGGAUUCAACUGUAAGGGCCGGAGAAGCAAAGCGAGGAGGGGUACCACCAGGUGUACUGACAGAGGGUACGACAGUAGCCAUCGCUUGGGCAGCGGAGCGUUUUCCAAACAGAGAAUCAA